rnacentral:lncRNA from 10 species
CUUUACCCCUGAUGUCAAUUCCUGUGCUUUGCUUAAUAAAAAUAAAAAAAUACCUCUUGCAGAUUUUAGGCUUUUUCAGAGAGCCAGCCAGAGGAUCCUUCCACCUCACCUCUGCUGUCUCCCUUUUGCUCAACCACAAGUCCCAAAAUAAAAAUCUUGUCUGGGAAAUCUGCUUGGCCCUGUGUUAACUUCUGUUACAUGGGAGCCAAAGAGCCUGUGGUCUGUAACAGGUUCUCUGGCAACCAUGACGGGAUUAUAGGACGUGGUGAGCAUUUUUCUCCAAGGAGGAGGCUUGUGAGCCAGCAUGAUGGCGGGGUGUGCCUGCCUCCUUCAUGGGUGACAGGUGGUCACCUGAAUCUUUGAUUCAGCAUUGCCACAACUGCAUGGCUUGGCCCCCACAGCUAUGGCACAGGGAGCAGGGUCAUCAAAAUCCACUCUGCUCUUCCAGAAGCUGCAGAGAGAGGGAACCCUAAAACCUGACAUGCCAGAAAAGAUUGCACUGAAGCUGAGAGAUGUGUAGUCCUAGACUAGAAGAAGAGAUUCAGCUGAGACCAAGGGCUCAGUUGCAGAAAGAAGUGACCACGAGGCUGUGAAAUCCUAAUAAUAAACUGAAAUCCCUGAAAGACUACUGGACUCCUAGAAAUCGAAACCAGUCUUAUAUAGUGAAAUCUCAAAGAAAAGGCCGAACCAAGGUGACAGCAAGGUUACACCACAGACUUAGCUCCCUGCACAACCCCCUGACCAGUCCCCAGUAACCAGCAUUCUACUCUGCUUGAUCCCAGAGGAGAUGAGAAAAGGUGUGAGACUGAGACUGAAAAGGUAUCCAAAC